GACAUCUUAAUUGAUAGUUAUGUAUAAACGUCAAUUUUCUAGAAUAAUUUUUUCCGUUAAAUUUACGUGCGGAUGACGAACCUCUUAACAAUUCUGCUUUCAAUAACACCUCAAAUGAUGAGGCUCUGGAAAUUCAAAAAUAAGAAUUUCACGAAUGAUGAAUGUCUAUAAUAAUUGCAUUUACAGAAAUAUUACAAAUGAUGAAUGUUCAGAAACGAAAGUACAUGAACAUGUCAAGUGAUGAAGGUUUAGAAAUGCAAGUACAGGAACAUUAGAAAUGAUGAAGGCAAGUACAGGAGCAUGUCAAACAAUUAAUGUUUAGAAAUGCAAGUACAGGAACAUCUGAAAUGAUGAAGACAAAUACAUGAUCAUGUCAAAUGAUGAAUGUUUAGAAAUGCAAGUAGAGGAAUAUAUCAAAUGAUGAAAGUUCAAAAAGGCAAGUCCGGGGACAUUUCGAACGAUGAAUAUCGAGAAUACAAGUGCAGAAACACUUCAAAUGAUGGAAAUGCAAAUACAGGAACAUUCAUCAAAUGAUUAAUAUUCAGAAACACAGGAACAGUGUAAUGAAUGUUUAGAAAUGCAAGUACAGGAACAUCUGAAAUAAUGAAGGCAAGUACAGGAGCAUGUCAAAUGAUUAAUGUUCAGAAAUGCGAGUAGAGGAACAUCUAAAAUGAUGAAAGUUGAAAAGGGAAGCACGAGAACAUUUCUAAUGUUUUCCUUGUGGCCACAUCAAAUUUGACCAAACAUCUGGAAACUGCAUUAAAUUUGCUACGAGAUAAGGUCUGUGCGUCAAAAAAGUCUUAUUGCGGGAGCGAAAACUACCUCAUUAAGUGUGCUUUCGAAUGACAUAUCAACUCUGGUGCUAGCUGCUUGUCUUCCGUCAUAUAUCAUGGCCUCGAUCAUGGCUCACAAGAUAACAACGAAAAGUUGAAAUAUUACAAACUUAAAUUUCAGUCAUCAGAGAAAAUUCUGAAAAAUCAUUGACGCAAGAUUAAUAUUGGUAUGAUAGCAGCCUUAAUAUUUGGCAUUUCGCCGAGAUGA